CCUACGGGGGGCAGCAGUGGGGAAUAUUGCGCAAUGGGCGAAAGCCUGACGCAGCGACGCCGCGUGAGGGAUGAAGGUCUUCGGAUCGUAAACCUCUGUCAGCAGGGAAGAACGGUCACUGUGCUAAUCAGCAGUGAAUUGACGGUACCUGCAAAGGAAGCACCGGCUAACUCCGUGCCAGCAGCCGCGGUAAUACGGAGGGUGCGAGCGUUAAUCGGAAUUACUGGGCGGAAAGCGCUCGUAGGCGGUAUGUCAAGUCAAGGGUGAAAUCCCCGCGCUCAACGUGGGAACUGCCUUUGAAACUGGCAAACUGGAGUGUGUGAGAGGAUAGUGGAAUUCCAGGUGUAGGGGUGAAAUGCGUAGAUAUCUGGAGGAACAUCAGUGGCGAAGGCGACUAUCUGGCACAUAACUGACGCUGAGGAGCGAAAGCGUGGGUAGCAAACAGGAUUAGAUACCCGAGUAGUC
rnacentral:rRNA from 1 species